CCGCCAGAAUAACUACGAGCAAAAAGCUUAAAAUUCAAAGGACUUGACGGUGUCCCAUCCAACUAGAGGAGCCUGUUCUAUAAUCGAUAACCCCCGAUAAACCUAACCACUUUUAGCCAAUCAGUCUGUAUACCUCCGUCGCAAGCUUACCAUAUGAAUGUUGUUAAGUGGGCAAAAAGAUUACUUCACCCACACGUCAGGUCAAGGUGCAGCCCACAAAGUGGUGAGAGAUGGGCUACAGUUUCUAACUUAGAACAUACGAAAACUUUAUAUGAAAAUUAAAUCAAGAAGGCGGAUUUUAGAAGUAAAGGGUAAGCAGAGUGUUCACUUUAAUUUGGCACCGGGACGCGUAC
rnacentral:rRNA from 1 species